GGCCACACCUGCGGCAUGUGGAGUUUCCCAGGCUAGGGUUCUCACUGGAGCUGUAGCCGCCGGCCUACACGAGAGCCACAGCAACGUGGGAUCUGAGCCGUGUCUGCGACCUACACCACAGCUCAUGACAACGCCGGAUCCUUAACCCACUGAGCAAGGGCAGGGAUCAAACCUGCAACCUCAUGGUUCCUAGUCAGAUUCGUUAACCACUGAGCCAUGACGGGAACUCCCAAGUUUGUUCCCUACAAGUUAGGGAAUUGAUGAAUAAGCUUGUGUAUGAUCUGCCCUACUUUGCAGGUUUUGAAGAUUUUAAGAAUACUCCCUGAAGUUUUCUCAGAUCAAUUUAAUUUCUAGGCGAGUGGUUCUCAACUCCAGGCAACUUCACCCAGAAAGGGACAUUAGACCAGGUCUGGACACAUUUUUGGUGACUGCUACUUGUGGGGAGAGCAUGCUCCUAACAUCCGGUGGGUAGAGACCAGGGAUACUGCUCAACAUCCUAAAAUACACAGGACGGUCCUCACAACCAGGAAUCUUUUGGUCCAAAGUGUCAACAGUGCUGAGGCUGAAAACUCUAAGACUGUUCUACUUGCUUCUCUUUGGACCAUGUCUAGCUAUGCUGUCUACAUGUAUUUAGCUGUGCAUGUAUCUCCACAACAAGUCCAUUGUUUUGCGCCACUGACUGAAAUCUUUCUGACAAAACCAGCAGUUUCCUACAGUUUUGCAAUUAGUAAAGCUAUCUUUUUAGGGAAGAUCAAGGCCAUGUGAGGGUCCUCGGAUUCUAUCCAUCUAUGAACCCUUCUUCCCUUUCCUGUUUUAUAAACAGAGUCCAGACUCAUUCAUACUUGUCACAGAACUGAACUUAUUUUCCCCCAAUGAACCAUUACACCCCAAACAAAGCUGACGGGCCACUUCACUGCCUUCUCAAACUCAGCGUUCCUCCUGGUUUGCAAUCGAGUGUGGUCUUUCAUGGACCAGAAUCACUCGCUGUGAUGUGCCAACCAGGGGCUUAACCAUGCACUCCCUCCUCCAACGUCAUUACUAGUCAACUUUUCCUCCACCGCCUUUAACACAUUUUCCCUUCCUUUAGCCCAUUUCCCAAACCUCCAAGAUUGUUCCUUCUGAGGCCAGACCCAGUCUGGUUUUCAUUAAAUCUGCCUGGCUCUGCAUCCAGGCUCCAGGGCCAGGCCCUCGCCUGCCACAGAACAGAGGCCCAGAGUGUCUCCACACCACGAAGCUCUGGGCUGAAUCCUGGUGCACGAGUCGGGUCAGGCUGCUUCUGCCGGGCCUCUCAGACGCCAAUUUCCGGCCUGUCUGCAUUUAUGAGAGUCAGUGACCCUGGAUUCUCUCUCAUUGUGUUUUUGUCAGUCAUCAGAAUCCCAAGGUCCUUUCUCAGCCACCUGUGCAUGGCCUCCCAUUUCCAAAGCUGUGACUGGUCGGCUGCCUGGACCACCACAAGGGACUGUAAAAACCUCUGGACAACUGCCUUUAUCCCCAGCCUUCACUCUCCUAUGUCUGUACUAAUAAAGUGGCCCACCUACCAUAUUUUAUAUUCAUUCAUCUGUCUGUAUUUCUCUUUUAUUUUCUACAGUGAAAUCUCCAAGCUUUAAAAACAGAGGAGGAAUGAAUGGCUUUUGUCUGGUGGAGCAGGCUCUUCUGUCGGGCGAGCAGACUUUCAUCUCAGGACCUCUGCGUGAACUGGGUCCUCUCUUGGAACAGUCUUCCCCAGCUAGUCUCAUUGCUUCCACGCAAACACACACACACACACACACCACUUGUUCAUUCAUUCAUUAAGAUGCUGCCCAAAUGCCCCUUCCACGACCUCCCCAUUCAGCAUGUUCCAUUACCCUGUGGUGUUUUUUUUUGGGGGGGAGAGGGCUUUUUAGGGUCGCGUUUGCAGCAUAUGGAAGAUCCCAGGCUAGGGGUUGAAUUGGAGCUACAGCUGCUGGCCUACACCACAGCUCACGGCAACGCCAGAUCCUUAACCCACUGAGCGAGGCCAGGGAUCAAAACCUGCAUCCUCAUGGAUACUGGUCAGAUUCGUUUCUGCUGAGCCACGAUGGGAACUCCUACCCUGUUUUUUCUUUAGAGCAUACACUGCAACUUUGUUCUUAUCUGUUCUCCCACUAGAAAGUGAGCGCCACUUAAACAGGGCUUGUUUUGUUCAUUACUUUAUCACCUGUGCCUAGAAAAGUGUCUGACCCAUAGGUGACACUUGGCAAAUACUGAAUGAAACAACUUUCACACAUGUAUGGAAAAAGAAAAGAAAUAAAUACCAAAGAGGUUUAAUCAGUAGCUGUAAAAAUUAAUACAUUCAUUAAGGUACUAUAUUUUUAUUUCUAUAUAAAUAUAUUCAUACUAUAUUCCGAUCAUUUCUAACAACCAUAUGUUAGAUUCAGCACUUCAUUUAAGGUAUUAGCAAAAGGAAUGUGUAGUGGCUAACUGGAAAUCUCUGAUAAAAAGUUUUUAUCAGCCAUGUGAAAUUCAGAAACCUUCUUUUAUUAUGAGCAGUUAUCUUCACUUUGAUAAAGACAUUGCUGAGCUCGUCACUGAUAACAAGAAGGUUAAACAGGAACAUAGCUAGUUAAUAUAUGAAUCCUACAUACACAUAUGCCAUGGCAGAAACCAUCAAAUUGGCACAUGGGAGAGCAACCUCCUAUUUAUGUGAAAAAAAAACACUGAAGGCUGCUGAGCGGCUAGAAGUUGUCCUUGUCCAAUCAGUUCACCAAAGACUGAAAUACACAUAUGGCCUUUGUGAACAAAUUACUACGGCAGUGACUGAAGUAUUACUAGGUUGAGGCCCUGUCAUUCACUUUAGGGGAGAUACUGGUGAUUUCUAGUCUUAAACUGUUUUCUCUAUUUGAACAGGCAGUUAUCUGCACAAACGUGCAAAUGUGUGCUCAUUAGCUAUGAGUGUAUGACACACAGACCGCCCCCCCAAAGAUCAGCGAGCUGUGCAGGCACCUGCUAUUUCCCACAAUGAACAGUGAUUGCCUAACAGUACGGCAACCUCUGUAGAGCCUCGACUGCAAUUCUAUUUAAUCUAAGUCUGGGGAAGAAAACCAUUUCUGGUCACUAAGUGUAUUUACUGUCUGCUAUUUCCAGAGGUUACAACAGUUUUGAAGUUACAAUAAUCUACUUAAAAAAAACCCAAAAAACAAAAAAUAAAAACCCAAACCCACUACAGCCCAGAGUAUGGCACUGAUGUGUCUCUAAACACAUAAUUCAAUUGUUACUGAAAAUGUUCUUUAAUGAAUUUCUUUUUCCCUAAAGACUCCUGAUCAGACCAAACCUUUCCCUCAAUAAAUUGCUAAUUAAACAUGUGGUGUUUGGGCCUGGAUUUAUAACUACUCUAUUGAACUUUAUUAAAUGUAAUCUGACACGAAUCAGAAGCAAGUGAUUAUGAAUACACUGAUGAAUGAAGGCUGUGUGACCAUUUUUUGUUCCUACUAUUCCAUCAGAUUUAAACACACAAUUCUACUGUACUGUAAUGGUAGUCAUUUCCUAUAAAGUAAUUGUACAGCAUGAUUUUGACAUUAAAGGAAAUAAUUGUAUUCAUUUAGUAAAGUCCAAAUUGUAUGCCAGGCAAGGCCUUCUGUAUUAUCUACUCUUUGAGUGGUGCUACAGUUCCAUUCUUGGAAUACCAAAUUACUAAUCCCAUCAGUCAUCACAAGCAUUUAAAGAAUGCACAUGCCUUCAGUGAGGCACCAACAAUCAUAUUUUAAACACCCAGUUGUUGAAAAUUAUGUGAAAGCUAAGGGAAAGUUUAACAUUUUCUCCUACACAAAGCCAGUCAGCCUGUCUAAAAGAAAAUUAUUUUAUUGAAGUGCUCAGGCAUGCACAAACGGAAUGUACUGUUUUUUUUUUUAACAGUGAAAUUUCUGAAGCAGUGGAAAAAUCAUCCUUAUUCAAGGUACCAACCACACUACAAUCCAUUUUAACACUGCAACCUCAGACAGUAUAUGAGGUCUUAUUUGUGAGUAAUGGCCUAAAUUUGGUCAGAGAAAUAAAUGAAACUUCAAAUAUAUUAGGAAAUAAAAAUAGGAUAACCACAUAAAACACAUUGGUUAAGUAUUUGUGAACUGAAGUUUGACACUUGCUGUCAGCCUCUACAUGGAGUAAAACAUGAGCCACUGAUGCUGCCGACCCACAGCACCCCCUGAGCGAAACUCAGGGUGGAGACCAGGCGUGAGGCCCUCUGUGCUCUGGGAAAACUGGAAGCUCAGGUCUUCAGAGAGUUAGAUAUUUUUGGGAGAAGGUUUUAUGAGCCAAAUUCUUGCAUCUCUUCAUACCUAGAAAAACACUAACGUCCAUCAAUGAUGACUGGCAUCUGUGACUCGUAGUAACCUUCAGAGACCAGCAGAAAACGUGCCUAAAAUGUGCGCGUGGCUGAUGCACCUCCCC
rnacentral:lncRNA from 1 species